rnacentral:rRNA from 1 species
AGAUUGAACGCUGGCGGCAGGCCUAACACAUGCAAGUCGAGCGGUAGAGAGGUGCUUGCACCUCUUGAGAGCGGCGGACGGGUGAGUAAAGCCUAGGAAUCUGCCUGGUAGUGGGGGAUAACGCUCGGAAACGGACGCUAAUACCGCAUACGUCCUACGGGAGAAAGCAGGGGACCUUCGGGCCUUGCGCUAUCAGAUGAGCCUAGGUCGGAUUAGCUAGUUGGUGAGGUAAUGGCUCACCAAGGCGACGAUCCGUAACUGGUCUGAGAGGAUGAUCAGUCACACUGGAACUGAGACACGGUCCAGACUCCUACGGGAGGCAGCAGUGGGAAUAUUGGACAAUGGGCGAAAGCCUGAUCCAGCCAUGCCGCGUGUGUGAAGAAGGUCUUCGGAUUGUAAAGCACUUUAAGUUGGAGAAGGCAUUAACCUAAUACGUUAGUGUUUUGACGUUACCGACAGAAUAAGCAACCGGCUAAACGUCUGUG